AUUGAACGCUGGCGGCAGGCCUAACACAUGCAAGUCGAGCGGAGCGGCGGUCGGAUGAGUAAGGCCUAGGACUGUGACUGGUCGUGGUGGAUAACGUCCGGAAAUGGGCGCGAUUACCACUUCCUAUUGUAUUGGCCUAGGCCGGAUUAGCUGGUUGGUGGGGUAAAGGCCUAACAAGGCGCCGAUCCGUAACUGGUCUGAGAGGAUGAUCAGUCAAACUGGAACUGAGACACGGUCCAGACUCCGACGGGAGGCAGCAGUGGGGAAUAGUGGAAAAUGGGCGAAAGCCUGAUCCAGCCAUGCCGCGUGUGUGAAGAAGGUCUUCGGAUUGUAAAGCACUUUAAGUUGGGAGGCGUUACCAACAGAAGAAGCACCGGCUAACUUCGUGCCAGCAGCCGCGGUAAUAC
rnacentral:rRNA from 1 species